rnacentral:rRNA from 1 species
UACGAAGGGGGCUAGCGUUGUUCGGAAUUACUGGGCGUAAAGCGCGCGCAGGCGGUCCUUUAAGUCAGGGGUGAAAGCCCAGAGCUCAACUCUGGAACGGCCUUUGAAACUAGAGGACUUGGGUACGGGAGAGGUGAGUGGAAUUCCGAGUGUAGAGGUGAAAUUCGUAGAUAUUCGGAAGAACACCAGUGGCGAAGGCGGCUCACUGGUCCGGUACUGACGCUGAGGUGCGAAAGCGUGGGGAGCAAACAGGGAUUAAGAAACCCCGGGUGA